UGGGGAAUCUUGCGCAAUGCGCGAAAGCGUGACGCAGCAACGCCGCGUGGGGGAAGAAGGCCUUCGGGUUGUAAACCCCUUUCAGGAGGGACGAAGGUGCGGCGGCGAAUAGCCGUCCGUAUUGACGGUACCUCCAGAAGAAGCCCCGGCUAACUACGUGCCAGCAGCCGCGGUAAUACGUAGGGGGCAAGCGUUGUCCGGAAUCAUUGGGCGUAAAGCGCGCGUAGGCGGCCCGGUAAGUCCGCUGUAAAAGUCCAGGGCUCAACCCUGGAAAGCCGGUGGAUACUGUCGGGCUAGAGUCCGGAAGAGGCGAGUGGAAUUCCUGGUGUAGCGGUGGAAUGCGCAGAUAUCAGGAGGAACACCAAUGGCGAAGGCAGCUCGCUGGGACGGUACUGACGCUGAGGCGCGAAAGCGUGGGGAGCGAACAGGAUUAGAUACCCCCGUAGUCC
rnacentral:rRNA from 1 species